rnacentral:tRNA from 1 species
GGGCUCUUAGCUCAGCGGUUAGAGCAGGGGACUCAUAAUCCCUUGGUCGCAGGUUCGAAUCCUGCAGGGCCCACCA